AUCUCUGUGGCACAAUUGGUUAGCAUAUUCAACUAUUAACUGAAAGGUUGGUGGUUUGAGCCCACUCAGGGAUG
rnacentral:tRNA from 1 species